rnacentral:rRNA from 1 species
CCCUUAGAUGUCCUGGGCCGCACGCGCGUUACACUGAUGCAUUCAACGAGCUUAUAACCUUGGCCGAGAGGCCUGGGCAAUCUUGUUAACGUGCAUCGUGAUAGGGAUAGAUUAUUGAAAUUAUUAAUCUUGAACGAGGAAUUCCUAGUAAACGCAGAUCAUCAAUCUGCCUUGAUUACGUCCCUGCCCUUUGUACACACCGCCCGUCGCACCUACCGAUUGGAUGGUCCGGUGAAGCCUCGGGAUUGUGGUUCUUGCCGCUUUAUUGUGGCGUGACCGCGAGAACUUGUCUAAACCUUAUCAUCUAGAGGAAGGUGAAGUCGUAACA